CUACUUGGAGACGAGUUUGAAUCAGAAUAGCUGAGCUGAACCAGCCAGCCAGAAAGAACUAGAAAGGAUGAGCUUAUUCAACAGGCUCGGAUCUCAACUGGAGAGUGAUCUGCCUCUGGGUUCAUGUGAUUGUUAGAGAAAUACGACUGCGCUUGUCCUCCUGCACCAAUGGCUCCAUUUCUUGAAGGCUGACAUCCAUCACCACACUCAGCUCCUUUUCACAGCACUUCAUAGUGUGGCUACGUAGUCACAUAUGCGAGCCCAGAAAGCGACUGAGACAGCCGGGACAUUAUACGUACACCACAGGACGAAAUCAUAGACAUAACAAGCCAUCCUGUCCGCUAUGCCAAUGGCAAACUAGUCGUGCGUGCCAUCUACAUUCAAGAACCACCUAAUAAGGAAAACCCAAGACUGAAGUCAACACAUGUAAAUGUCCACACGGGGGCAGCAGACACCAGGACAUUGUGUUCCGAAUGCCUGACUCCGAGGAAGAACAAGUUCAUUUCCUUUUAUGGCAGCUCACGGCUCCCCCUGUCUGGUCCUUGAAUGGCAAGGGAGGUGCUUGCUUGUUUUUUAUUCCUCCAUCCCCGUAAAGCUCCGUCCCUGAUAUGUCCCCAAUAAAGACAAAGGGCUGUAUCCUGCAUAACCCGCAGAGCAACAGUGACUGGGGAGCAGCAAUGAGGGCCCCCCUGAAACAGGGACUUAAGGAGACUUCCACAGUCCAAGAGCCCACAUGUCUAAGUCACAACUGUAUCGCAGUCGGUGUCGGGUAAAGCCCGUCUUGUUCAGAGUUGGUCCAGAAUUCGUGCCCUCAGUGAAGAAGCUUCAGAAACUCGCUGGCUUCUACCCUGUGAAGAUUCAGAAAGGCAUCAUCUAGGCAGCAGGAAAUGAAGCCUCCUUAGACAUCAAACCUUCAGUAUCCUCGAUCGUGGUUUACAACUGUAAGGCUUCGCAACUGUAAAGUACAUAAUAGCUGGCAUUUUGUUAUAGUGCUAUGAACAGAGACAAAGGAAAUUGUAGUGACACAUUUUUUAUGAAAACACCUCUUGCAUUAAAAAUAAACUAAUUUCCCAGAUCUUGCCACCAUGUUAAUAAGGUGCCUAGAGAGCAUUCAAGACUGCAUACUUAACCUGCUGUCCUACUAUGCAUUCAGCCUAUUUACGUUUAACCUGCCUUUGAGAGAACAAUAUACCCAACCUCACUAUAUCUUGGAUUGUACAUGGAAUCAGCUUUUACAGCCUAAGUUAAGUGAUAGCUUUAACCCAUUUAUAAAUGCUUAUUUAUUUUAUGUUGUGAUCAAGAAUAUCUUGCUU